rnacentral:rRNA from 1 species
UACGUAGGUGGCAAGCGUUGUCCGGAAUUACUGGGUGUAAAGGGAGCGCAGGCGGGAAGCCAAGUCAGCUGUGAAAACUACGGGCUUAACUUGUAGACUGCAGUUGAAACUGGUUUUCUUGAGUGAAGUAGAGGUUGGCGGAAUUCCGAGUGUAGCGGUGAAAUGCGUAGAUAUUCGGAAGAACACCAGUGGCGAAGGCGGCUUUCUGGACUGAAACUGACGCUGAGGCACGAAAGCGUGGGGAGCGAACAGG